UAAAAUUAGCGGAAAAAUUUCCCCGCUAAACCGAGCGGAAAUUUUUCCCCGCUAAAGUUAGCGGAAAAUUUUCCACUAAUUUUAGCGGGGAAAAUUUUCCGCUAACUUUAGCGGGGAAAAUUUUCCGCUCGGUUUAGCGGGGAAAUUUUUCCGCUAAUUUUA
rnacentral:pre_miRNA from 1 species